UGUCACGGCCAUAUUCAGAAAUGAGCACCGGAAACCGUCAGAUCUCCGAAGUUAAGCUUCUGCAAGCCAUGUGAGUACUCAAGUGAGAGAUCAUUGGGGAAAGCAUGGUGUCGUGAUUU
rfam:Edhazardia aedis TSNM 41457 supercont1.8, whole genome shotgun sequence.